rnacentral:rRNA from 1 species
UACGGGGGGGGGCAAGCGUUGUUCGGAAUUACUGGGCGUAAGGGUUCGUAGGUGGCCCGCUAAGUCAGACGUGAAAUCCCUCAGCUCAACUGGGGAACUGCGUCUGAGACUGGCGGGCUUGAGUGCAGGAGAGGAACGCGGAAUUCCAGGUGUAGCGGUGAAAUGCGUAGAGAUGUGGAGGAACACCAGUGGCGAAGGCGAACUUUCUGGCCUAGUAACUGACGCUGAGGCGCGAAAGCGUGGGGAGCAAACAGGGAUUAAGAAACCCUGGUAACGUC